rnacentral:rRNA from 1 species
CAGUAGCCACGGUAAAACGUAGGUGGCAAGCGUUGUCCGGAAUUAUUGGGCGUAAAGGGCUCGCAGGCGGUUUCUUAAGUCUGAUGUGAAAGCCCCCGGCUCAACCGGGGAGGGUCAUUGGAAACUGGGAAACUUGAGUGCAGAAGAGGAGAGUGGAAUUCCACGUGUAGCGGUGAAAUGCGUAGAGAUGUGGAGGAACACCAGUGGCGAAGGCGACUCUCUGGUCUGUAACUGACGCUGAUGUGCGAAAGCGUGGGGAUCAAACAGGAUUAGAUACCCGCGUAGUCCCUGUCUCUUAUAC